AACAACAAGAAUACAAGAUACAAGGGUGUAUUUCAACACCAAAACAGCUAUAAAACAUGAUGAACAAUAUGAACAACAAUAACACAAGUUUCGGAUUCAAUAAAUGACCCAAAACAGUCCACUACACAAGAUAACAACAACAAAAGUAAAGGAUAGAUAGUGAGACCAAGAUUAUUACAAGAUUAAGAACUAAAGAGUGUAUUAAACUCAAAAACCCCUAAUGAAUGUAAUAAUCAAAACCACACUCUUACGGUGACCGCCAAGGGAAUCAACUCACCUCAAGAUCCACCAUUUUCAAGCAAAGAACAAUGUUAGCUUUUCCAAGCCCUAUACUAAAUCUACACUAAGUUGGUCUACUCUCAAGAGAGAGGAUUUUAAGUGUUUCAAUAUUUCAUCUUUCAUAAACUAAAGAGAAAAGACCUAAAAUGUACUACUUAUAGUAUAUUACAAAAGUAGACAAAAAGACCACAUUACCCUUAAUGACUAUGGGUGACCUUGGUGUGUUGGAAGACAAUAUGAAUUGUCCAAAAUUCCCUUAAAGCUAAGUGACCAAAUGCCCUUAGUAAAGGGAACCAAAACCGUGAACCAACAAAGGCGGUCCAAACCCAAGAUUCCUUAUGUCUUCAAGGCUCCAAGCAAUCUUCCACACUUGAGUUUAAUCAAUGGUAGGCUCAAAACAUCCCCUCCAAGUAUGAUCCCAUGCCCUCCAUGCGACCAAAUCUUGAUUCUUCACAUAGUGACUUUGAAUGAUGUCGUCAAAAGCUAAGGCGACCAUUAUUCUUGUAUCAUCCUCCUCUUCUUGAAAAGAAUUCAACCUCGAAUCCAAACCUUACAAAACCGAAAAGAGGACAAACAAAUACAAACUCUUAAUGGCAUGAGGGUUAGGGUUAGCACCACAAAUCAUCUCAACAUGCCAAGGUUGCACAUAUUUGCAAUAAAACCAAGGAUUCUUCGAAUUAAAUAUAAAAAUCUCAAUAAAAGGUGCACAAAGGAUUUGGUUACGGGAAUCACCAAGAGAUAAAGAAAGUACAUCAGUCCUAAUGGAAUCAAAUAAUCCACAAGGUAGAAAUUCCUUCAUCUUAUGAGCCAUAAGACACCAUUGCUUAUUUAUCUCAUCAAAAGACCACAGCAAGGAGGCUGUUUUGAUUGGUUCUAAAGUCCAUAAAAUCCAUAUAGCAUUAUCGCACACACACAUCGACAGAGCAAUAAACUUCCUACGUCGACAUAAAACAAAUCCAAAACUAGCAUGGAUAUCAUCAUAGGCAAAGAGGUAGUCUAGGAAAGAAUCACAUGCAAAGGAAUUCACGGGUGAAGAAUAAGUAUUUGAAUACAUACACAUUCUUUCCUUCAAACAACUAGACAACUUGGCGUCCACAAGUUGGAAUUCAUGCAAUUUAGGCACAUGUGUGUCAAACAAGGAUGCACAUUUAGGAACAUUACCCCAAGGAGUCAAUGACACAUUUGUCCUCGGGUUUUCAAGAAAGACUACACAUUCCUUAUCCAUAAGAGUACUCUCAUCUUUCAAAAAGAGAUUUUCAUCUUUAGGAGGAAUAUUGUCACACCAUAGUGGAUUAGCAUAUCGACUAUAGCUUCCAAGGCAAGCUAUACCUUUAUUUUUACCACUAGGCUCAUUAGGAGUGUUUAUAUCAUCUUCAAAUAAGACAUUAUACCUAAAGAGAGCAUGAUCUAUUUCACAGACAGAUUUGGAACAAACACAUUCAGCACUCUCUAAAAGCUCAAUAUCACUUUUUAAAGAGAUUUCAAGUACAAGAUUAUUCCAAGAAUAGCUUUCGGGUUCACUCCCUUUUUGUUUACCAACUUUUCCAAACACUUCACUCACUUGGUUUUGCUUAAUCACAUCACGCACAUACUCAAUUGGUGGAAAAUUUUCACAAAUAGGUUGAUCAACACCAAUUACACAAGACAAUGUACUUUCGUUCAACAUAUAGGCUUCAACACUAGGUGGACAUAAAUCGAUCUUACAAGAAGAGUCAAUUUGGUCAUCAAUAAGAUCAACUAAUAUAUCCACACUCACAAUAUGUACAUCAUUAACAAAAGGCAAAGAAUCAUUAGACUCACAAGUAAGUAAUCUACUACUCAUACUCAAUGGGCUACUAGCCACAUAAUUAUCAUUCACAUGCACAAAAGUAUAAGAGUUAGCUAUUUUACCUUGAGAUUCUUGAGUUAACUCUCCUUUGCCGUAUUGUGAAGGUCCUCCAUAAGCUUGGGCAGCAACUUCACUUUGGAAUUGAUCUCCAUCACUUUCCAUGUCGGUACCUACACAAAUAUCCUUAGAAAUAGGAGGACAAACAAUAUUAGCUCGGUUUGGUGGUGAUCCCCUCGCUUUGCUGCAUAUAACUGCUCCUUUUUCCACUCUCGGAUUACUACCUUGCACACUCUUACUCCUCUCAAUCUUUUUUCUCUCAUAAGAAUUCAGAUUGGAGUAAGUAUUCACUUCUCUUUGCAGCUCAGGCAGCAUGUAUGUCAUGAGGUGAUUUCCCCACCGGUCUCUUAUAACAUUAGGCCAAUUUUGCACAUUUGGAACUCUAUGUUGUGCAAACCAAUCGACACCUAAGCAUACAUGACCAAAUGUCAAUGGAAGAAUAUCACACCAUACCUCCUCAUGGUACUCAAAUUAGGAGAAGACAACUUUGACCCUCUCGGUAACCUUAAACCCGUCCAACAAGUAUGGAACGAGUAAAGGGUCGGAAAACAACCCCAAGUAGUCAACCAUGGAUGGAACAAUGUAGUUUAUAUAGUACCUAUCAUUUAACACAACGAGGUAGCCUAGUAUCCCACAAAUGGUCACCUUUCCAGAGUGUACACUCCUUCUUGGAUCAAUAUUGUAAAGGACACGAGUACCCCUCGAUUUUAGAGAUGCAUACCCUUUUCUUCUCGUUGAACAACCUCCACUAGAGCUAGUAUAACCAUUCACACUAUAUCGAUCUUGAUAAGAAGUACUACAAGGUGGAGAAUAUGAAUCUUCACACUCCUCAUGUGUACUCUCAUCAUAACUCUCAUAAGCUUUGCAAAUAAAAGGGUUAUACCUAACACCAAAUCUAAGUUUGGAGUGAGAAGUGUAGGACUCCUCAUAUGCCCCAACAUCAUCAUAAGAUCCAUCACGAGGUCCUACAUCAUCUCCAAAUUCACCAUAAGCACUAGGCACUUUAUUCACCUCAUUUUCUCCCUCAAAAUAGUAACUUUCAAAUCUGCCCAAUUUUCGAUCAUGGCUAUUUUUAUAGCCUCCGUAAUCUUCCUCAACUUUGUAGCCAUAAAAUCCCUCACUAAAACCAUAGUCUCCCAUGUUGUAGUCACAAUAAUCCCCGACUAUCGAAGACAUAUUCCCCUUAUAUCACCUUUUGAACCUACAAAAUGAACAAAUAAGAUUAGUAGUAAAAGUUCCUCACCAACACUCGUAUUCACUCACUUUUGUAAUCCUUACAAUUGGAGCGGCGAAUAUUAAAAGUUGCUUAUACUCCGGUAGUCAAUAAGAUGUCAAUUCUACUUGGCAGCCAGAAUGGAUUCUUGCUUGAUCGACUCAAGAAACAAAACAAAAUUUACUUAGGAACUUGAAACAAAGAAGUUACUAUGAGUUAAAAAUGAUAAAAGCACACAAAUAACGAAGACACGAAGAAGCGGAUUCAAUAAUUAAUCUACAACUAAGUAGGUGAUUACUAGUUGUUAAUUAAUUCUAGAAUCAAGACAUGAAACUAAUGAAACAAUAAGAUGAAACUAAGAAUNNNNNNNNNNNNNNNNNNNNNNNNNNNNNNNNNNNNNNNNNNNNNNNNNNGUAUUGGUUCGGUUUUAUCAAGUGGUUAUUCUCAAAGGUUCAAGUCUUGGUUAAAAAUUAAUUUAGAUUGGUGGAAUUUGUUUUAGGAGGGAAAAUAAGUCUUGGAGCCUGUUUCAAUUUUCAAGACUUGACUUUUUCUUGUAGUUCUCCUUAAAACAUGGACCCUUGUUCCAAGGAAAGUGGUUGAGAUAUGAUGUAAAGUCUUUUGGUGGUUGGGGGUCUUUCAAGACUAACAAUUCUUCAUCUUUUUCCCUUCACCUUUAUAGAUCUAGUAUUCACUUUAUUUUAACAAGGUAUGAAGGUUGGGAAGAACAUCAAGAAUACUUCAACAUCACCAAGAACAAUAAAAAAUAAUUACCAAUAUCCACAAUACAACCACACGGCCAACUCCAAGACAACAAUGUUUUCACAUGGCCAACUCCAAGACAACAAUGUUUUCACACGGCCAAGACUACCAAACCACCAACAAUGGCCAAGUCUCUUUAGUGUUGCAUUUUUUUUUAACAAGAGAUGAAGGUUUUGAAGAACUUCAAGAACAAAAACAAUACUCUUUUCAAUAACAACAACCACACAUAUGGCCAAGUCAAGUUUCUCAACAACAAUGUCUACCACACGGCCUUACUUGUUCACAAUAACAUCAAUCUUUAAAGCUCAAAUCUAGAUCAACUCAAAAUGUUAGUGAAGAACAAAACUAACAUCACAAACACAAAGACAAAUAAAACACUCAUAUACCUAGACUCAAGAGCAAAUCUCGGCUAAGAACACCACAAGAACACAAUUUUUGGCCAAGAACACAAAAUGGACAGAUUGCUAUUUUUCUGGAAUUUUCAGAUUUCAACUUUUCUUUUUGUUUUUUCAAGUAAGCUAGCUCAAGAUUUGAUCUUGUAGGAACAAGAUAAAUCCAUUAUUUGAUACCAAAUAAUACAAGAAUGACAGCGGAAACACGAAACACACUCCAAAUCAAUCCACUAAUAUUAAGGAUUUGAGGACCAAGAUGAAGGCCAUACUCGGAUUUGCUACCAAUAAUAAGAAUACAAGAUACAAGGGUGUAUUUCAACACCAAAACAGCUAUAAAACGUGAUGAACAAUAUGAACAACAAUAACACAAGUUUAAGAUUUAAUAAAUGACCCAAAAAAGUCCACUACAUAAGAUAACGACAACAAAAGUAAAGGAUAGAUAGUGAGACCAAGAUUAUUACAAGAUUAAGAAUUAAAGAGUGUAUUAAACUCAAAAACCCCUAAUGAAUGUAACAAUCAAAACCACACUCUUACGGUGACCACCAAAGGAAUCAACUCACCUCAAGAUCCACCAUUU
rnacentral:lncRNA from 1 species